CACACACGUGAGUCCACCAGGGUACGCUGGUACGAGUUGGGAACCGCACUUCAAACGUUUGCGUCUGAGACGAGCAUACGUGUGCGUGCAAGCUUGUGUGUGUGUGUGUGUGUGUGUGUGUGUGUGUGUGUGUGUGUGUGUGUGUGUGUGUGUGUGUGUGUGUGUGUGUGUGUGUGAGAGGGAGGGAGGUGUGGACAAGACGUUUGUGCAUCAGCUCUGCCCCGCAUGUGUCGCCGUCCAUCACGGCCCACCGCGUCCUCUGGCUCCACGUUGUCCAGACACAGCCUUUUCGAGAGUGGGGGUGGGGAGGGGGUCUCGUGGUCAGACGCUUCUGCCGUUGGUUCGAUGAUUCGAGAGUCAGUUUGCGCCGCUCGUCACUCUGCCAGGACGCUGAUUCUCUUGUGCCGGGUUUCUCUCUCACUCCGGUUUCCCUUCAGACUAAGUGGUGCCCCAGGUAGCAGAACAGAAUAGUCAGCUGGUACCUGGAGACGGAGCCGCUGGCGCACAUGCCGCCUCUGUGGUGCCGGGAUGCGUGCCGGGUGGGAGUUAGGGGGAAAACGCACCCUUUGGGGACUGGGAGUUUGUCUGGGCCGGCGGAGGGUGUGCCCCCCUUGUUAGCUCGGUUCCUGUAAUAAAGUCUGAUGGCAUGGGCCUUUAUCAGGGUUUUAUCGCCACUGGUCCCCCCUCACCCACCCACCCUGGUUAUAAAUAAAACUACGUCAUUGGCUGGCCAGUCAGCAGAUAUCUGAGCGGUAUCAGAUGCAGCGUGUGCGUGUGAAGCAGCCGCGAGCGUCUUGGGCAGCUGCCCCUCUCGUCCCCGGCUCGGCACACCCCCCCCCCCCCCCGUCGGUGCCUGUGAAGUUAUGCUGCUGGCUGCACCCCCACCCCCCCUCCUGCCAACCCCACGUUAUGCGGCAGCUUAACCAGGACUAUUUUUAGCUCCCUCACAAAAGGGAUUUCCAGAAAAACCAGAGAGACAAUAACAGUGUCUAGGAGUGUGCCAACUGCCCCCCCCCCAGCCCGGUAUGUAUCUCCAUGUUCCUCCACCCCCCCCCCCUUCCAAAUCCAACCUUUUUUGUUUCCCCUGGAGUAUCUCCCGGCAAGUGUCCACAGCGAUUGGCCUGCUUCACUAAAAGCAGUUUCUUCAUUAUGUAUGAAUGUGUUAUUUUUAUGUGACUUUGUAGGCCUGCUUUGUUUGAAGCCAGCGGAGUGGAUUAUGGUCCUACACCAGUGCUUUUGCCGUGGACUUUCGUUAUAGCUCUGGAUAUAUGGAUUCGCCAGAGCUGGUGGCAAAGCAUGCUGGGAAUUUGGGCAGAGCGAUGUGAUGUAGACGAGCCAUCUGGGCCGGGAUAGCGAUGGACGGUCUGGCGUCGCCCUCCAGCCGGCAGCAUCUUGCGCGGCGUCGGCGGCCUGGAACAGCGUCGCCGGCUGGUCCAGCGGGCUGAAUAACUGGGUCAUGCAUUAAAUUUGUGGUUGUGUGUGUGGGGGUGGAGGGGCAGGGGUGACCAGUGUCUCCACUCCAAACCUCCUUUUCAUGGCCAGUGAGGAUGGCGACCCCCUGGGUGUGAAUUCCAGGAAGCGCACAGCAGCGAGACGUCACCCCCCCCCCCCCACCCCAUGAUGACACAUAACUGUUCCAACUGGCUUUUUUCGUUCUGAACCUGUUGCUGACAUGCCAAGUUUAUGACUCGGUGUGUUUCUUGUGAAAUAUUAAUAUGUCAUAUUGUUACAUUAUUAAUAAGAUUAUUAUGGUUACAUUGUUGGCGGCGGUGUGGUGGCUGGGGGAGGGAUCGCUGCUGCCACUCACCGGCAGGUUCGGGGGCCGUAACCCCCCUCUGCGCACGCGUGCGGCGUUUCUGUGUCCUGGGUCAGGUGGGCUUCCCCCAGAUACACAGGAUUCCCCCAAAGACGCUCUGUUAACCGGUGUCCCUGAUGUGCCUGUGUGUUGCUGAGUAUGGAGGGGGGGGUGGGGAGGGGUUGCGUGAGUGACGGAGGGUGAAGGUGUUUCCCUGCCUUGUGCCAGCAUGCCUCAGCACGUCUAUGGGUCCUUGAGCAAGGCCUGUAACCCCCCAGCUCCCUGGGCGCCCCAACAGGUGGUUGCCCUUUGCGAACAGCAAACUCUACAAACAGCAAGUUGAGGGAGACGUAAAGACAAUUUCCCCAUGGAAAAGUAUCUUUAAAGUAUCUAUUAUUAUUAUUAUUAUUAUUAUUAUUAUUAUUAUUAUUAUUAUUAAUAAAAUUACAAUUACAGUUACAGUACUUAAAUACAUUACUGCAGGGAUAGUGGUGG